AAAGGUGAUCUAAAUACCAUAAAGACAUCAGAUCCUGUCUGAUCUUUGAAACUAAGCAGGGUCAGACCUGGUUAGCACUUGAAUGGGAGACCAGAUACGAAUUCCUAGGCUUUAUUUC
rnacentral:rRNA from 1 species